UACGUAGGGACCAAGCGUUGUUCGGAUUUACUGGGCGUAAAGGGCGCGUAGGCGGCAAUUCAAGUCACUUGUGAAAUCUCCGAGCUUAACUCGGAACGGUCAAGUGAUACUGCUUUGCUAGAGUGCAGAAGGGGCAACCGGGAAUUCUUGGUGUAGCGGUGAAAUGCGUAGAUAUCAAGAGGAACACCGGAGGUGAAGACGGGUUGCUGGGCUGACACUGACGCUGAGGCGCGAAAGCCAGGGGAGCAAACGGGG
rnacentral:rRNA from 1 species